GGAGCUGCUAGUUUCCACCAGAGGGCAGUGCUGGGUCUAAUAAUCCCAUCAACAAGAGAGCAAGAGAAGCUGACUGCCAGUUAUUUGAGUGUCAACCUAUGAGGUCUUUACAAGCUGUACUCACGGACAUGAAUUUUCUAUCUCUGAAGCCGCCGAAGGUGAUUAAUGAGACAAAAACCAGACAGACUGUGGAAUAAACCUGAGCGAUGCCACCGUCCUUUGAAAUUCAGCUUUCUCCAGGUUGCAUCAGAAAGAUGUGAAGCAGAUAAAUGAACGACUUUUGUUCGAAUUGUCAAAAACUGUCACAGGCCUUGUCUGAUGGGUGCUGGGACCACCGACUGGGUGUGUUUGGCUCACACUCUGAUUUUGACUGAUUUCUUGGCAUUUUUGAGACAGAUGGGAUCAGAAAAUCAGCCCUGAAGUGAAGAAAGUCAAUGAAGCAACAAUGCCCUCGGCUUUGGAGACAAAAUAUUUACGUGUAAACUGUCAUGUUUUCAGACUUUUUGGUGUCGAUCACAUUAGAUUAAAGCCAACUCUGGUUCCACUUCACCCUGUUUGCUUAAGUGGAUUCCUAGGAAAAUCGAGAGCAUCAGUGUGACAAAAACUUUUUUGUUUUCUUCUUACAAGUCAAAAUGUAUUUCACUGAGAUGAUUUAACCAUUGCAUUGCAUUUUGAUGGUUAAAUAUAAAGUAUAUAUGAAAUCUA